GCCGGGUGCGGUGGCUCACGCCUGUAAUCCCAGCACUUUGGGAGGCCGAGGCAGGUGGAUCACCUGAGGUCAGGAGUUCGAGACAAGCCUGGCCAACAUGGUGAAACCCUGUCUCUA
rfam:Homo sapiens chromosome 18, GRCh38 reference primary assembly.